UACGGAGGGUGCGAGCGUUGUCCGGAAUCAUUGGGCGUAAAGGGCGCGUAGGUGGCUUCUUAAGCGUGCGGUGAAAGCCUGGGGCUCAACCCCGGGUCGGCCGUGCGAACUGGGGGGCUGGAGCACUGUAGAGGCAGGCGGAAUUCCGGGUGUAGCGGUGAAAUGCGCAGAUAUCAGGAGGAACACCGGUGGCGAAGGCGGGUCUCUGGGCCGAUACUGACGCUGAGGAGCGAAAGCGUGGGGAGCGAACAGG
rnacentral:rRNA from 1 species